ensembl:lncRNA
UGGCUCAACAUGACUGAAACAGAAAAUAAAUGUCUCCUUAUAGAUGUUCAGUCAAACAUGGGCUCGUAGAUUUAACCUAAAACAAGGUGAUUUUUCAAAAUAGAUCCAGGUGAAGAGAAAACAAAUACACCUUUAGAGCAGGAAGCCAGGUCCUCCAACACACCCAUGAAUACACUUAUCCGGGACUAAAAAUAAGUUCAACAGCAAACUUCAAACUGGCUGUGAAUGAACUGAAAGCAAAAGCAAAAGAGUCUUCUACAUGAUUAAAAAUACAAAUCAAAUAAAAGUCAAAUUCAAACCUGGCUAAAAAUCCUGAAAUCAAUAAUCAAACUAAUUGCUCUUUAUGGCAGCAAGAUAUGGGGAUCCCUAAAAACCCAAGAUUUUUCUAAAUGGGAAAAUUCACACUCUGCACACCCAGAUUUGUAAGAGCAUCCUAAAAGUAACCCGAGCAACACCAAACAACUGAAGCAGAGCUGAAUAUUAGGACAAUACCCUUAUUAAUCAGUUUCCAUGAAGAGCUCUGAAAUUCUAGAAGCACUGAAUAGCAGUGAGCUGAGCUCAAACCCUGCAGUGACAGCAGAACCUGCACAACAACACACACAGCUUGGUUCCUUGAAACAGUUUAAUUCUUCGGGUCGUCUUUACGUCAUGAGAACUGUAUUCAGAAAUAAGCAAAGUACAAAAACAUCAAACACAAAAUGGAAUUUAACGCUAUAAUGGAUACUUUUGUUACAUUUUACAAACAAAUACCUCGUUGGUCGCUUGUCAUGAAAAGAAGUCCGAAUCCCUGAAAGUCUCCUAAAAGUCACUUUAAAAGUCCUUUGGCUUUGAACAUGAAUAAUCACAACGUUUAAAUGUAACUCAGCAGAGCCUCGUGUCUGCAGCUAAUUCAUAUUCACAUUCAACACAAUGAUGUGUUAUCGAGCCUAAUAUUUUAUACAUUUGCUGCACAUUAAAUUACAUCACAUUUUAAUUUUAAAUUAAAAUUUCAAUUUUACAUUUUCUUAUUUCUUGUUUAUAAAAAUGUAUUCAUUUACUUCAUGGCUAAUUUUAACAUUAAACAUUAGAAUUA